rnacentral:rRNA from 1 species
UGGGGGAUAACAUUUGGAAACAGAUGCUAAUACCGCAUAAAACCUAACACCGCAUGGUGUAGGGUUGAAAGAUGGUUUCGGCUAUCACUUUAGGAUGGACCCCGCGGUGCAUUAGUUAGUUGGUGAGGUAAAGGCUCACCAAGACCGUGAUGCAUAGCCGACCUGAGAGGGUAAUCGGCCACACUGGGACUGAGACACGGCCCAGACUCCUACGGGAGGCAGCAGUAGGGAAUCUUCCACAUGGACGAAAGUCUGAUGGAGCAACGCCGCGUGAGUGAAGAAGGUUUUCGGAUCGUAAAACUCUGUUGUUGGAGAAGAAUGUAUCUGAUAGUAACUGAUCAGGUAGUGACGGUAUCCAACCAGAAAGCCACGGCUAACUACGUG